AUUGAACGCUGGCGGAAUGCUUUACACAUGCAAGUCGAGCGGCAGCGCGGCCUUCGGGCUGGCGGCGAGCGGCGAACGGGUGAGUAAUGCAUCGGAACAUGCCCAGUCGUGGGGGAUAACACUUCGAAAGAAGUGCUAAUACCGCAUACGUCCUGAGGGGAAAAGCGGGGGAUCGCAAGACCUCGCGCGAUUGGAGUGGCCGAUGUCAGAUUAGCUAGUUGGUGGGGUAAAGGCCUACCAAGGCGACGAUCUGUAGCUGGUCUGAGAGGAUGAUCAGCCACACUGGGACUGAGACACGGCCCAGACUCCUACGGGAGGCAGCAGUGGGGAAUUUUGGACAAUGGGGGCAACCCUGAUCCAGCCAUUCCGCGUGAGUGAAGAAGGCCUUCGGGUUGUAAAGCUCUUUCGGCAGGAACGAAACGGUGGGCUCUAACAUAGUCCGCUAAUGACGGUACCUGAAGAAGAAGCACCGGCUAACUACGUG
rnacentral:rRNA from 1 species